UCUUAUGAACGCUAUCAUUCAAAACAGAUCAUUGGAAUUCCUAAAAUCAUUCAGCUCUGUGAUGGCAUCAUGGCCAGUGGAAGGAAGGCUGUGACACAUGCCAUACCGGCUCUGCAGCCCAUAGUCCACGACCUCUUUGUAUUAAGAGGAACAAAUAAAGCUGAUGCAGGAAAAGAGCUUGAAACCCAAAAAGAGGUGGUGGUGUCAAUGUUACUGAGACUCAUCCAGUACCAUCAGGUAAGAGGAAUGUGUGUUGGAACUGUCGUGGAUACUUUAUUGACCCGUGCAGAUGGAAGGAAGUGCCAUGUGGUAACGCUCACUGUUAACUGUGUUACUUUGAACCAGGUUUGAGCUUUCUGGGGCCUGGGGAGAUGCCGGUG
rnacentral:sRNA from 1 species